GCUACGGGUGGCAGCAGUGAGGAAUAUUGGUCAAUGGGCGUAAGCCUGAACCAGCCAAGUCGCGUGAGGGAUGAAGGUUCUAUGGAUCGUAAACUUCUUUUAUAAAGGAAUAAAGUGAGGCACGUGUGCCUUUUUGUAUGUACUUUAUGAAUAAGGAUCGGCUAACUCCGUGCCAGCAGCCGCGGUAAUACGGAGGAUCCGAGCGUUAUCCGGAUUUAUUGGGUUUAAAGGGAGCGUAGAUGGGUUGUUAAGUCAGUUGUGAAAGUUUGCGGCUCAACCGUAAAAUUGCAAUUGAUACUGGCAGUCUUGAGUACAGUUGAGGUAGGCGGAAUUCGUGGUGUAGCGGUGAAAUGCUUAGAUAUCACGAAGAACUCCGAUUGCGAAGGCAGCUUACUAAACUGCCACUGACAUUGAUGCUCGAAAGUGUGGGUAUCAAACAGGAUUAGAUACCCGAGUAGUC
rnacentral:rRNA from 1 species